CAGCAUUCCCCCAGGCUCUGUAUCAGGGCCAGUGCUCUGUAGUGUUUUUAUAAAUUAACUAGGUGCAAGAAUCCAAUGUACAUUAAGUUGUGGAGAGCUUAAGACACAUCCAAAAUUUAUCCUAGAAGACACUCAAACAGUAAUACUGAAUUUAUAAAAUAUCCUGCACUCCUGAUAUAUUUCUGGAAGAGUAUUCCAAAACCUUUCUGCAAUAGGGAGCUGGGGCCAGCCACUAGAAGGCAACAUGAUCCCACAAACAG